UACGAAGGGGGCUAGCGUUGCUCGGAAUCACUGGGCGUAAAGCGCACGUAGGCGGAUUGUUAAGUCAGGGGUGAAAUCCUGGAGCUCAACUCCAGAACUGCCUUUGAUACUGGCGAUCUUGAGUCCGGGAGAGGUGAGUGGAACUGCGAGUGUAGAGGUGAAAUUCGUAGAUAUUCGCAAGAACACCAGUGGCGAAGGCGGCUCACUGGCCCGGUACUGACGCUGAGGGUGCGAAAGCGUGGGGAGCAAACAGG
rnacentral:rRNA from 1 species